ACAUUCUUGAAUUGCUAAACUUCUCGUUCCUAGAAAAAUAUAACAAUAAAUUUGAACUAUUUAUUUAAAUUUUUCGAACAAUUUCUGAUCAUGGGGAAAUAUCUGUAUUUCAUUGCUGUAAUUGUCGCUAUAAUUUUUGUAGCUUGUGAAGCACAAAAAUGGGAAAGUGGAAAAGAUUACACGUGCACUAUGGACAAGGAAGAUUUCUCUUUUUACGACGGAUGCAAUUGGAGCACUUGUCCGUGCGAUGAAAAAUCCACCUUCAUUUGUUCAUCGACAUUGAAAUAUUGUUACGGCGUAGACGAAAAUGCUUCGGUAGGAUUGAAGGAAUUUGCAAGAAAUUCCUGCUGUACUGUUGCAAAAUAAGGUUAAAUUUGAAAAGCUGAAAUUUGGAUAUUGAACAGAAAUUAAGUUUAAAGAUACAAUAUCGGUAAAAAAAUUGCUUUAAAUCGGUGAAAUUGUGUCCGCAUGUUAAAAUAUUGUUCAAUCCAAUACGAGCCUGGCUAAUAAAAAAGAUUUGUAAAAUUAC